AUUGAACGCUGGCGGCAUGCCUUACACAUGCAAGUCGAACGGCAGCGGGGGAGAAGCUUGCUUUUCCUGCCGGCGAGUGGCGAACGGGUGAGUAAUACAUCGGAACGUGCCCUGUAGUGGGGGAUAACUAGUCGAAAGAUUAGCUAAUACCGCAUACGACCUGAGGGUGAAAGUGGGGGACCGCAAGGCCUCAUGCUAUAGGAGCGGCCGAUGUCUGAUUAGCUAGUUGGUGGGGUAAAGGGCUACCAAGGCGACGAUCAGUAGCGGGUCUGAGAGGACGAUCAGCCACACUGGGACUGAGACACGGCCCAGACUCCUACGGGAGGCAGCAGUGGGGAAUUUUGGACAAUGGGCGAAAGCCUGAUCCAGCAAUGCCGCGUGUGUGAAGAAGGCCUUCGGGUUGUAAAGCACUUUUGUCCGGAAAGAAAUGGCUCUGGUUAAUACCUGGGGUCGAUGACGGUACCGGAAGAAUAAGGACCGGCUAACUACGUGCCAGCCGCCGCUGUAA
rnacentral:rRNA from 1 species